CCCUUAGACGUUCUGGGCCGCACGCGCGCUACACUGACGGAGCCAGCGAGUAUAAACCUUGGCCGAGAGGUCUGGGAAAUCUUGUGAAACUCCGUCGUGCUGGGGAUAGAGCAUUGUAAUUAUUGCUCUUCAACGAGGAAUUCCUAGUAAGCGCAAGCCAUCAGCUUGCGUUGAUUACGUCCCUGCCCUUUGUACACACCGCCCGUCGCUACUACCGAUUGAAUGGCUUAGUGAGGCUUCCGGAUUGGUUUAGAGAAGGGGGCAACUCCAUCUUGGAACCGAGAAGCUAGUCAAACUUGGUCAUUUAGAGGAAGUAAAAGUCGUAACA
rnacentral:rRNA from 1 species